rnacentral:rRNA from 1 species
AAGUCGUAACAAGGUUUCCGUAGGUGAACCUGCGGAAGGAUCAUUAAUGAGUUGUGAUAGGGGUUUGAUGCUGGCAGCCAAUUAGUUUUGGGUGCAUGUGCUUGCCCUGACAAUCAUUAUUCUAAAUACAUCUGUGCACGCUUUUUUGGAGGGAGUUUUGAGUUUGAUUGCCGCUCUUAGGUGAUUUUCUCGUUAUUCCCUUUGAAAACCAUUAUACGCUGUUAAUGAUACUGAACGUGUUUGUGCCGCAAGGCCUAUUAAUAUAAAUACAACUUUUAACAACGGAUCUCUUGGCUCUCGCAUCGAUGAAGAACGCAGCGAAAUGCGAUAAGUAAUGUGAAUUGCAGAAUUCAGUGAAUCAUCGAAUCUUUGAACGCACCUUGCGCUCCCUGGUAUUCCGGGGAGCACGCCUGUUCGAGUGUCACGAAAUUUCUCAAGCUUGGAUAGUUCAUCCAUUAGCCUUGGUUGUUGGGCUUUGCCGUGUCCUUUAUAGGGAUGGCUGGCCUUAAAAGCAUUAGCUGAUCCUUGUGUGGCACUGGUUCUACUCAGCGUGAUAAUUGACCUGAUCGCUGAGGACAUCCUUUCUUUGUGAUGGCCGGUCAUCAUUUGGGUUGCUUCUAAAUCUGGUUUUGCAGGUUCUUGAAUUUGCAUUCCGCUUUUUUCAGCUUUGACCUCGAAUCAGGUGGGACUACCCGCUGAACUUAA